GAUGAACGCUGGCGGCGUGCCUAACACAUGCAAGUCGAACGGGAUGCGUAUCGGAAAGCUUCGGCCGGAAGAUACGUUAUCUAGUGGCGGACGGGUGAGUAACACGUGGGUAACCUGCCUUAUGGAGGGGGAUAACAGAGAGAAAUCACUGCUAAUACCGCAUAAGCACACAGUACCGCAUGGUACAGGGUGAAAAGAUUUAUCACCAUAAGAUGGACCCGCGUCUGAUUAGCCAGUUGGCAGGGUAAAAGCCUACCAAAGCAACGAUCAGUAGCCGAUCUGAGAGGAUGACCGGCCACAUUGGGACUGAGACACGGCCCAAACUCCUACGGGAGGCAGCAGUGGGGAAUAUUGCACAAUGGGGGGAAACCCUGAUGCAAGCGGACGCCCGCGUGAGUG
rnacentral:rRNA from 1 species